CGGUGUCUGUCCCUGGCCAGGGUGGGGGCGGGGCCUCCGCCGCUCUGAGCUUGCCCUUGUGUCUGGUGCUUCGUAGAGCUGCCGCCGCCGCUGCCGCCGCCGCCGCUGCCGCUGCUGCUACAGCCGCCGCUGCAGCCGGAGCAUCCGGGAGCUGCCACUGCCGCCGCCGCUGCCGCCACUAGCGCUGCUUCCACCGCUGCUACCUCCCCUCCCAGGACCUCGAGACAUCCCGGGUGCGAGCGGCAGUGCUGCUUGCUUGCUCCCCCUCUCCCCCAGCCUUUCCCCUCCGUGACCUACCCACUCCUUGCAGCCCUCGCCCGCACCUUCUUCGACACCCCGGCACCCCUGCACCACCUGCUCGGGCAGCCCCGGCGGGCUCUGGGACUUGCUGUGCGCGCCGAGAGGAAGGCAAGCUCCAAACCCCUGCCUGGCAGACGGGCUGUCGCGGCUGCACCACCAGCAGGAGGAGGAGGAGAAGAAACUAUUUCGCCCACCGAUACCCCAUUCUGCGGGUGCUUUGCCGCUGUCGCUACUGCUGCCGCCAAUCCGAGUCCGCGGGUUCGAACACCUCAGCGGCGGGGACGCCCUUGAGAGAAGGGACCAUGAUUUGGAAACGCAGCGCCGUUCUCCGCUUCUACAGUGUCUGCGGGCUCCUGCUACAAGGUAAUCCCCGCCCCGCCGCGGGGAACAUCAACUUCUCGCCCAUUCCCCAUCUUCCACAUUCCACCCCGUAUUUCCACUCUCCCCUCCCAGUCCCCCUGUCCCCAGCGAUUUCCACCCCCCUCCCCCUACUCUCUGGUGCGGCAGGGGGCAGUGGCAGUUUGCACCAGCCCCUUGAAUUUCUAACGCUGGCUCAGCCCUGCCUUCCCAGCAGUCGGCCCCUUA
rnacentral:lncRNA from 1 species